rnacentral:rRNA from 1 species
AGAGUUUGAUCCUGGCUCAGGAUGAACGCUAGCUACAGGCUUAACACAUGCAAGUCGAGGGGCAGCAUUGGAGUAGCAAUACUUCAGAUGGCGACCGGCGCACGGGUGAGUAACACGUAUCCAACCUGCCGCUUACUCGGGGAUAGCCUUUCGAAAGAAAGAUUAAUACCCGAUGGUAUAAAGAGUUCGCAUGUUCUCUUUAUUAAAGAAUUUCGGUAAGCGAUGGGGAUGCGUUCCAUUAGAUAGUUGGCGGGGUAACGGCCCACCAAGUCUACGAUGGAUAGGGGUUCUGAGAGGAAGGUCCCCCACAUUGGAACUGAGACACGGUCCAAACUCCUACGGGAGGCAGCAGUGAGGAAUAUUGGUCAAUGGACGAGAGUCUGAACCAGCCAAGUAGCGUGAAGGAUGACUGCCCUAUGGGUUGUAAACUUCUUUUAUAAGGGAAUAAAGUGAGGGACGUGUCCUUUUUUGUAUGUACCUUAUGAAUAAGGAUCGGCUAACUCCGUGCCAGCAGCCGCGGUAAUA